CGAACCGCCGCCAUGACCAGCAGCAUGUGAAGACGCCGGUAAGCCACCAGCCACGUGGCAAGAGACUUCAUGAGGUCCUGCUGGAGUUCCGUUUGCACACAUUUCCCACUGGCUGUGAUGAGUUAGACUCAGCGGAGCAUUUGCAUUUACCUGUAACUUUAGCUGGAAGCUGACAAGUGUCUCACAUCAGAGAAUAACACAACAGUCCAAUUCAUGGAGAUCUGAGCCUUAUACUGGAUGUGUUAAACUGGAUCAUACCUGAAAAACUAUGGCUUUUUACAAAUGACUCAUUCUGUUGACCCACUGGGAACAACAACAACAAGACUUUGUAAAUUUUGCAUGAGAACUACACAAGGAAAUUCAAGAAACAAUUUUCUGAAGCCUGGGGUGCCAGCUUCUACAGCACCGAUCUCCGAAGGAGAUUUACUAGACUAUGCUGCUGAGUUCCCUGGCUCUAUACUCCAGAACACAACUGGGUGGAGGAAAGUGGCAUUGAGUACUGUGUUUCUGACUGGUACCCACACCCACAAAAGGAGAGUUCCAUCAGCAGCUGGGCAUCCUUUCCAAGAUGAGCUUAGAGCUGCUUCCUAGAAGAGGCAGACUCUAACGUUACCAAGUUAAAAUAAAAUGUAAGAAGAAAAACUGAUUUCCAAAACUCAAAGUCAUUCUAUUUCUCUCAUGAAAGAUACCAUUGACAUUCAUGUAACUGGGAAUGACAAAAGAUGAAGAAAGGAUCGAGUGAAAGAAAACCAAUCCUGGAGGCUGUCCUCAUGCCACAGGCCCAUGGGCACACUGGAAGAGCACCGUGAGUGUGUGCUUCUAAAUCACCACCACAUAGAUUUUACAACUCUUCUCCUAUAAGAUGAUAUGUGAAGCAUGCCGAGAUUCUGGGACUGGUAGGACAUUCAUUUCUGGAACAUGGACUGUUUGGGCAGUUCUGUGAUCAGACACUUUGCUUCUGCUAAUGAGUGCCCAGAGUGACAAUGUGCUGCCUGCUCCAGCCUCACAGGCUCAUCAGGUCCAAAUGUGCCCCUUUUGGACAGUCAGCCAGUGGAUAUCUGUAGACUGUGAUGGAUGCUCAGGAAUGAGGAUUCUGUCUUUUCACUUUACCAGUAAGUCAGUGUUCAGAGUCCUAGUUAAUUUUCUGUACAGCUUGCUCUUCGGCCUGCUCAGUAAAGGAUCAGCUUUGCAUCCGGCAUUUCAAGGCCAUACUCUUCAGAGUAGAACUCAGCUAACACUUGGGGAAAGCAUGAAGCUGAUGCUGUGUGGAAGAAGCAGAUGACAGAGGAAUCCAGGUGAUGAUUUAAAAGCAGGAGUUUCAAAAUCCUGCCUUCAGAAAGACUGUUUCGCAGUUGUUGCUGCACUGAAAUUUGAGCCCCACUGCUCCUAAAUUCCAUUACAGCCAAUUCACUUAUAAGUAAAACUGAUUUCUUUCUUCUAAAAGGCUAGGAUCGGGUUGGGAAAUAUGCCUUGAAAUAAAAUGUCUUACUUGGUCAUGUACAGAACAAUAUAAAAAGAAGUCACCAUAAUUUAUGUGUGUCUCUCUGUGUGUUAAGUGGAAACAUGUUUUUAUAAGAGGAGAAAAAGGUGGGCAAGAAGCUGGAACUCACAUCUUAACUUAGGAAACAUUAUGGAUGCUAAAAUAUACUCCAUAUCCAGGACCGAGUCAAAAACUUCAUCAGGUAGUCUGGGGAAAGAAAGUGGAAAUGUAACCUCAUCUGGAACAACGGUGCUGUCUGAAAACACUGUUGGAUUAUCUGUGCUGGGGAGCAAGAAAUCAUGCCAGCUGUAAAGCAGACAGCUCAUUUACAUAUAAAAAGAACAAAUUUUGUUCAAAUCACUCUUGUCAGCACCAGAAGACGUCCAUUCUUGAACUCAUCCCCUGCUCCCUCGGCUUCUCUGGUGUUGAUCCUUAGAAAAUCCUAUUUUGUCUUGUUUUCAUGAAUAUUACUGAGAUGGCUCAGAUUCCAUCUUAUAGCAACUGAAUCAUAAACAAGUCUGUGCUCGAGUCUCUUUGGAUUUUGAUAUCUCACACCGACAUGCCACAAACUGUCAGCUGGCCUGGCAUCGCCUGGCAUUGCACACAGGCCUGGCUCUGUCUGUGUGUGCUCCCAUCCCACAUUCCACUUUGGAGAGACAACGAGC